UAACAAGACAAAGACUUUUCUAGCCUAACAAGACUAGCCUAAGAAUACUACACUUUUCUUGAAAUAAAUACUAGCCUAACAUGACAAACACUUUUCUUGAAAAAUACUAGCCUAAUAAAACUAAAAUACUAGCCUAACAAGACUAAACUAAAAUACUACAUUUUUUGAAAAUUACAAGACUUUUUACAAAAAAACUCAUUUAGUCUUCAUUUUGCUUUUUGUCUUCUUCUUCUUUGUCUCUUUUCAUAGUAGAUAGCCUAACAAGACUAAACUAAAAUACUACAUUUUUUGAAAAUUACAAGACGUUUUACAAAAAACUCUUUUAGUCUUCAUUUUGCUCUUUGUCUUCUUCUUCUUUGUCUUUUUCC
rnacentral:lncRNA from 1 species